rnacentral:rRNA from 1 species
CGAACGCUGGCGGCGUGCUUAACACAUGCAAGUCGAACGGAAAGGCCCUGCUUUUGUGGGGUGCUCGAGUGGCGAACGGGUGAGUAACACGUGAGUAACCUGCCCUUGACUUUGGGAUAACUUCAGGAAACUGGGGCUAAUACCGGAUAGGAGCUCCUGCUGCAUGGUGGGGGUUGGAAAGUUUCGGCGGUUGGGGAUGGACUCGCGGCUUAUCAGCUUGUUGGUGGGGUAGUGGCUUACCAAGGCUUUGACGGGUAGCCGGCCUGAGGGUGACCGGCCACAUUGGGACUGAGAUACGGCCCAGACUCCUACGGGAGGCAGCAGUGGGGAAUAUUGCACAAUGGGCGGAAGCCUGAUGCAGCAACGCCGCGUGCGGGAUGACGGCCUUCGGGUUGUAAACCGCUUUCGCCUGUGACGAAGCGUGAGUGACGGUAAUGGGUAAAGAAGCACCGGCUAACUACGUG